rnacentral:rRNA from 1 species
AGUGAACGCUGGCGGUAGGCCUAACACAUGCAAGUCGAACGACAGCACAGUAAGUGCUUGCUCUUACGUGUGUCGCGUGUCGGACGGGUGAGUAAUACAUCGGAAUCUACUUUUUCGUGGGGGAUAACGUAGGGAAACUUACUCUAAUACCGCAUACGACCUACUGGUGAGAGCAGGCGAUCUUCUAACCUUUCGCUAUUGAAUGAGCCGAUGUCGGAUUAGAUAGUUAGCGGGUUAAAGGCACAACAAGGCGACGAUCCGUAGCUGGUCUGAGAGGAUCAUCAGACACAUUGGAACUGAGAAACGGCACAGACACUUACGGGAGGACGCGGUGGGGACUAUUAGAGAAUGGAGGAAAGCCUGAUAUAGCACUAUCGCGUGGAUGAAGAAGGAGUUAGGGUGGUAGAGCCAUUUUGUCGGGAAAGAAAAGAAGCACGUUAACCCCCCACGGUAAUGACGGUACCCAAAGAAUAAGCACCGGCUAACUUCGUG